CCACGGGGGGCGCAAGCGUUAUUCGGAAUUAUUGGGCGUAAAGGGCGUGUAGGCGGUUUUAUCGGUCAGAUGUGAAAGCCCAGGGCUCAACCCUGGACGUGCAUUUGAAACAGUAAGACUUGAGUACGGUAGAGGAAAGCGGAAUUCCUGGUGUAGAGGUGAAAUUCGUAGAUAUCAGGAGGAACACCGAUGGCGAAGGCAGCUUUCUGGACCGAAACUGACGCUGAUGCGCGAAGGCGUGGGUAGCGAACAGGAUUAGAAACCCCAGUAGUCC
rnacentral:rRNA from 1 species